ACUCCUACGGGAGGCAGCAGUGGGGAAUCUUGCGCAAUGGGCGAAAGCCUGACGCAGCAACGCCGCGUGGGGGAUGACGGCCUUCGGGUUGUAAACCUCUUUCGACAUCGAGGAAGCUUCUCUUGUUGGGGGAGUGACGGUAGGUGUAGAAGAAGCACCGGCUAACUACGUGCCAGCAGCCGCGGUAAUACGUAGAGUGCGAGCGUUGUCCGGAAUUAUUGGGCGUAAAGAGCUCGUAGGCGGUUUGUCGCGUCGGCCGUGAAAACCUGCCGCUUAACGGUGGGCGUGCGGUCGAUACGGGCAGACUUGAGUUCGGCAGGGGAGACUGGAAUUCCUGGUGUAGCGGUGAAAUGCGCAGAUAUCAGGAGGAACACCGGUGGCGAAGGCGGGUCUCUGGGCCGAUACUGACGCUGAGGAGCGAAAGCGUGGGGAGCGAACAGGAUUAGAUACCCUGGUAGUCCACGCCGUAAACGUUGGGCGCUAGGUGUGGGGACUGUUUCCACGGUUUCCGUGCCGUAGCUAACGCAUUAAGCGCCCCGCCUGGGGAGUACGGCCGCAAGGCUAAAACUGAAAGGAAUUGACGG
rnacentral:rRNA from 1 species